rnacentral:tRNA from 1 species
GUGUCUGUGACGCAAUUGGUAGCGUAAUCGGCUUUUAACCGAUAAGUUGCAGGUUCAAGUCCUGUCAGACACA